GUCCGCGGUGGCUCAGUUGGAUAGAGCGUCCGCGCUGAAAGCGGAAGAUCCCGGGUUCGAGUCCCGGUCGGGGCA